rnacentral:lncRNA from 10 species
CUAGGCCCCAAAGCUACAGAGGGUGAAGGCUAAGAUCAAAGGAGUGGUGUUCUUGGAAAAACCAGAAGCAGAACUCAUAGCAUCAACACAACUGACCACAAGAGCAACAGUGCAGCAGAAGAAUGGCCUCCCACAAUGUAAGUUAUAAGGUGACAACCUGGAGAUAGGUCUCAUCCCUCUCAUGCCUCAGAGUAGGGAGAAGAUAUCAAGCAGAUUACACUAGGCCCCGCUGACAUCUAGGACUUUCCUUUGCAGACUACUUCUAUGCUCUCUGGCAUCUAUAGCUCCAUGAACCUUAUUCUGCUCAUUUCAUUUGUUUCUAAUUCAGAGGUGGUCACUUUCAAUUGCCCAGUCUUUUAAAGGUGGGGAAUUUUUGGAUGGACUGAGCAAAGCCUUGAAGCAAAAGCAAGGAUCUUUCUGGUCCCAAAUACAAGUGGGAUUUGAAGGUACCUGUUGCUGAGUAACCUCCGCUGUUUCCUCUCUGCUCCCUCUCAAGAACAAAUCCUCCACCAAAGUCGGCUUGGAUCUCACAAUGCUUCAUCAUGAAGACGUGAGCAAUCUUUCAAACUGAUCUCCUUCUGCAAAGUUGGGGUGCAAAAGUCUUCCAGCCCAGGAGGUCAUUGAAACCUUUAGCCUAACUCUUCCCAUAUUCUCUUUUCAAGUUUGUUGUUGUAGCUGUUGCUGCUGUUUUGGUGUUAUCA